GCCUACGGGGGGCAGCAGUCGCGAAAACUUCGCAAUGGGGGAAACCCCGACGAGGGAAUUCCAAGUGCCAGCACUUUGUGUUGGCUGUUCCUCUGUCUAAAAAACAGGAGAAGUAAGGGGCGGGUAAGACGGGUGCCAGCCGCCGCGGUAAUACCCGCGCCCCGAGUGGUGGUCGAUAUUAUUGAGCCUAAAACGUCCGUAGCCGGUCUUCUAAAUCCUUGGGUAAAUCGGGCAGCUUAACUGUCCGAAUUCCGGGGAGACUGGGAGACUUGGGACCGGGAGAGGUCAGAGGUACUUCUGGGGUAGGGGUAAAAUCCUGUAAUCCUGGAAGGACCACCGGUGGCGAAGGCGUCUGACUAGAACGGAUCCGACGGUGAGGGACGAAGCCCUGGGGCGCAAACGGGAUUAGAUACCCGAGUAGUCU
rnacentral:rRNA from 1 species